rnacentral:rRNA from 1 species
ACGGGAGGCAGCAGUGGGGAAUAUUGGACAAUGGGGGAAACCCUGAUCCAGCGACGCCGCGUGAGUGAAGAAGUAUUUCGGUAUGUAAAGCUCUAUCAGCAGGGAAGAUAAUGACGGUACCUGACUAAGAAGCACCGGCUAAAUACGUGCCAGCAGCCGCGGUAAUACGUAUGGUGCAAGCGUUAUCCGGAUUUACUGGGUGUAAAGGGAGCGUAGGCGGUACGGCAAGUCUGAAGUGAAAUCCCAGGGCUCAACCUUGGAACUGCUUUGGAAACUGUCGAACUAGAGUGUCGGAGAGGUAAGUGGAAUUUCUAGUGUAGCGGUGAAAUGCGUAGAUAUUAGGAGGAACACCAGUGGCGAAGGCGGCUUACUGGACGAUUACUGACGCUGAGGCUCGAAAGCGUGGGGAGCAAACAGGAUUAGAUACCCUGGUA